rnacentral:ncRNA from 2 species
UAAAUGAGCCAGGGGCGCAUUUUGCUGAGAAAGGUUAUACCUUGUCCCUUAUUAUCUGAACUGGGUAAUGCCAGCGUAGAGAGAGCAAUUUUAAAAUUAU